rnacentral:misc_RNA from 1 species
AAGUCGUAACAAGGUUUCCGUAGGUGAACCUGCGGAAGGAUCAUUAUUGAAUUAUGUUUCUAGACGGGUUGUCGCUGGCUCUUUGGAGCAUGUGCACGCCUGUUUAGAUUUCAUUUUCAUCCACCUGUGCACCUAUUGUAGUCUUUGGUUGGGUAAGGAGGAAGUGGUCAACCUAUCAGCAUUUGCUGGAUUUGAGGAGUCUGCAGUGUGAAAACAUUGCUGUCCUCAACUUGGCCAUGGAGUCUUUUGCCUGCCAGAGUCUAUGUCAAUCAUUAUACUCUAUUGAAUGUCAUUGAAUGUCUUUACAUGGGCUUGUAUGCCUAUGAAAAUUGUAAUACAACUUUCAGCAACAGAUCUCUUGGCUCUC